rnacentral:lncRNA from 1 species
GUUGGUUUAAACUGGCUUCAAGCAGUAAUAAAAAGGUGGUGGUCAGAACUCUCAUCUACGUCAGAAAUUAUAAGUGAUGGAAAUAUUAAGAUUUUAAAGCAACAGUUGAGUGGAUUAUGGGAACAGGAAAGCCAUCUUACUUUGGUUCCAGGAUAUACUGGUAAUAUAGCUAAGGAUGUAGAUGCUUAUUUAUUACAGCUGCAUUGA